rnacentral:tRNA from 1 species
GCCCGAGUAGCUCAGUUGGAUAGAGCAGGAGCCUUCUAAGCUCAAGGUCACAGGUUCGAUCCCUGUCUCGGGCACCA